rnacentral:misc_RNA from 1 species
AUACAACAACACCAUAACCAGUAAAACAGAACACGGAUGUAAACCUGUUUUCUAUUGAUGAUAGAAUAAGAAAAGCAGCUCCAAAAGGUAUACAGACAGGAUAUUUAGUCCUUACAUCACUUUUAGGACUCGUAUUCGGAAUACUUGUAUCUCUGGGCCUCUGGUUGAUUAAAACAAAGUUUGUAAAACGCAAAUUAUGCGUGUCACAGAGUUCUAGUGUUCGAAAAAAUACUGACAAUAUACGUCAAAGAUCUUCAGAUACAGAGAUGCCAAGCAAGGCUUUGACAACUGAACUCAACACGCAUAAGGGGGAAAAUACCAAAACGAGAGAUGCUAUCUAUAACCAUCUCCAUGAAACAAGGAUAAAUUCAGAUUUGAACGAUUCUCCGUAUGACCAUGCUCAGUGCCUUACAGAGAUCCAAUCAACACGAGGAAAUGUUCUGGAGGAUAAUUACACUCACAUCAAUAAAUUGUGCCAAUGAAUUUUUGGCAAGCGAAACAUUUAAUGAAGAAACAUAUUUAAAAGUGGUUUGAAUCGACCUGGAAAAAAAUGUUUUAAUAAUCACUGUUACAACGUUUCAUUAAUCUUCUGACAAAACGAUUGUUGUUAAUCGAUGUAUUUGAACUUUUCACUGAGCAAAAAUAAUUUUAAAUUAAUCUGCAUAAUUAUAUAUUUGAGGCAGGCAAAACCUUUGUUCAAGAUUUUAUUGGAAACGAUAUUGUAGAUAGUAUCAGUGAGAAGUACAUGUAUAUGUAUUCCCUAAAAUAAGGUACUACCGAUAUAAUGAUAUCAUACGCCAACCAAUCUUCUAAUGAAAUUAAUUUAUACAUGUAAAACGAACAAACAGUACUUCUUAUAUG